AUCGCUUCUCGGCCUUUUGGCUAAGAUCAAGUGUAGUAUAAUUAUGAUAGACCAAUUUUAAGCUCUUGUUUUUUUUCCUCACUGGACAUUAAUCCAUGUCAAAUUUCCUGAUAUGUAGUAGGCCUUCAGUUUCACUCUACAGAUCUGUU
ensembl:snRNA LOC120095788 U2 spliceosomal RNA